UAAUACGGAGGGUGCGAGCAUUAAUCGGAUUUAUUGGGCGUAAAGGGCGCGUAGGCGGGAGCAUAAGUCAGAUGUGAAAGCCCGGGGCUCAACCCCGGAAUAGCAUAUGAUACUGUGAAUCUAGAGGAUAGGCGGAGGAAAUGGAAUUCCACAAGUAGCGGUGAAAUGCGUAGAUAUGUGGAAGAACACCGGUGGCGAAAGCGAUUUUCUAGCUUAUACCUGACGCUGAGGCGCGAAAGCAAGGGGAUCAAACAGGAUUAGAUACCCUGGUAGUCCUUGCUGUAAACGAUGUAUACUUGGUGUAACCGGACUCAACCCUGGUUGUGCCGAAGCUAACGCGAUAUAGUAUACCGCCUGGGGAGUACAGUCGCAAGGCUGAAACUCCAAAGAAUUGACGGGGACCGCACAAGCAGUGGAGCAUGUGGUUUAAUUCGAUGCACGCGAAAAACCUUACCAGGCUUGAACAUGCACUUGGAAGAUUAGCAGAGAUGUUAUUGCCCUUUAGGGGCUGGUGCACAGGUGCUGCAUGGCUGUCGUCAGCUCGUGCCGUGAGGUGUUGGGUUAAGUCCCGNNAAACGGAGCGGCAACCCUUCAUCAUUAGUUGCCAACAACGUGAAAGGUGGGGAACUCUAAUGAGACUGCCUGGGUUAACCAGGAGGAAGGUGAGGUGACGUCAAGUCCGCAUGGCCCUUAUGUCUGGGGCUACACACGUGCUACAAUGGACGGUGCAGAAGGCAGCAAAACCGCGAGGUGAAGCAAAUCCUAAGAAAGCCGUCCUCAGUUCAGAUUGUAGUCUGCAACUCGACUACAUGAAGACGGAGUUGCUAGUAAUGGCGAGUCAGCAACAUCGCCGUGAAUACGUUCCCGGGUCUUGUACACACCGCCCGUCACAUCAUGGGAGUUGGUUUUACCCGAAGCCGCUGGCCUAACCGCAAGGGGGGAGGCGUCUAAGGUGAGGCCGAUGUCGCGGAUG
rnacentral:rRNA from 1 species